GGAUCAAUAUGUUGGUCGUGCCUUGGUACGUACUAAUUUAUUGGUUUCUUCCUUCUGACGAACCUUGAUGUCAUUAAUUUGGUGUCUUGGGGAAUCAGGACUGUUACUUUGAAAAAAUUAGAGUGUUCAAAGCAGGCAAUCGCUUGGAUACAUUAGUAUGGAAUAAUGAAAUAGGACGUUUGAUUCUAUUUUGUUGGUUUCUAGGAUUGACGUA
rnacentral:rRNA from 1 species